rnacentral:tmRNA from 1 species
GGGCCCGAAAUGGUUUCGACCGGAACUGGAAUUGGGAUGCAGCGUGUCGUGGUUGAUCGGUUGGCCACGUUAAAAGCCGAUCGCAAAACUAUCUGCCAANNNNNNGUAGGAUGAGACGUAAAUGAUCGGCAUGCUCUCUCCAAGGUGCGCGGAGUAAGGGAGAGCGAGAACACGCCGCGCUAGGUGACGGGAAGACUGGUGAUGGCCGCCCCCGAGCCGAAUACAAAGCAUCACCUACACACGUAGACGCACUCAAGGAAUGUUCUUGGGACGGGGGUUCGAUUCCCCCCGGGUCCACCA